rnacentral:lncRNA from 1 species
CUCAAUUGUGAUUCAUAGAUUUGCAGCGAUUGAAAAUUUUAUAUACAAUUGAAUAUUAUAUUUUUAUAUCUAUUUUAAUACAUAUAUAUAGGGUUAGACUAAAAUAAGAACUAGAUUUAGUAUAUAAAUUAAGAAUCAAUAUUAACCAAUGGAUCAAGAUCAAUCAAUGGUUAGAUUUGAUCCCAAGAAUCAGGCUGAAAUUCACGUGCCAAUAAUAAUAGGAUAGAAAGGUAAUUUCUCAUUUUGGUUAUCAUCAUUUCCUUAAUUAAGGGGAUUGUUAUUCAAUUACAAUUAAAUGAUUAAUCCCUUUAUUUUUGUAGGCAACACGUUAACAAGCAAAACACAGAACCAGAAGUUAAAAAAAAUAAAAUAAAAUAAACGAUCUGUCGCAGCCUUUGCAGAAAUUGCUCAUUAUUCAUAUGGAGAAUGAAGGUAGGCUCCGAGCACGAGCAAAGGCGAAAAGCUGGAGAGUCAGUUCCGAGCCCGAAGGCAGGCUCAGAUGAGAGGCUGGACGCCAAGAGCCAUGUCAGCACAUUCAAAUCCGCGCCUCUCCAUCAGGUAUCGAGCCCCAAGUCGUUCACAAGCAACACGGGAACAAAUACGUCUCCCUAAGUCAAGCUUCUCAAGAAGAAGAAGAGAUCCUUCUUCCCAAGAAUAUUCAUGGUCUUGGGCGAGAAGAAGUUGUCCAAGUCGUCGUCAAAAAUCGUGAUUGUAUUCUCGUAUCGCUUGUGGGUUGUAAACGAUGCCCUUGGAAGUGAGUUUUUCUCAAACCACCUUAAUCUGUUGUCCAUUCUUGACAAACGUCUAUAUUUGUAUAGUAAUAUUGUUUUGUGUACAAUAGGUUGCUCAGAUCAUGAUUAUUUUUUUUUCCUAAUACUUGAUUGGGGUAUACAGUUUGUAAUUUUAGCUUGGUGUGGCUAUGAGGGAUUGGAUUCUGUAACGAAACUUUUCUGCUUUUUGAUUCAUUAAUAUUCAAAGUUUUGUUUCUAUAAAUUAUUAGACUUCUUGAUUUUAGUGAUCUUGAAAAUGCAAGAAAGAUUCUAGUUCUUGCUACAUUUUCUGGUGUAUUUGUUAUAUUUAGUGUAUUUCACUCGAU